UAGGUAGGUGGUCUCAUUUGUCUGGGGUGAAAGCCUUGAGCUUAACUCAAGAAGUGCCCCAGAAACGGUGAGACUGGAGUCCUGGAGAGGCGAGUGGAAUUCCCGGUGUAGCGGUGAAAUGCGUAGAGAUCGGGAGGAACACCAGAGGCGAAGGCGGCUCGCUGGACAGGCACUGACACUCAACUACGAAAGCGUGGGGAGCAAACAGGAUUAGAUACCCUGGUAGUCCACGCUGUAAACGAUGGGUACUAGGUUUGGCGGGUCUUGACCCCUGCCGAACCGGAGCUAACGCAAUAAGUACCCGCCUGGGAAGUACGGUCGCAAGACUAAA
rnacentral:rRNA from 1 species